rnacentral:lncRNA from 1 species
UAGUUACUGCUUGUUACUAUUGCAGGCGACUGUAUUUAUGUUUCUUAUGUUUACAUAAUUAUUUACGUUAUUUCUGCGGGGUUACUUAUGCUUUAUUAUUUCGUUUUGUCUUGCUUUGGUUUCUAAUUUUGUCUUUGUUUUAAUGCAGCUUUUCAUUUUAUCCGAUGCGCCGAGGGUCGAUUGGAAACAGCCUCUCUGCCCCUUCGGGUAGGGGUAAGGCUCGU